AACGAACGCUGGCGGCAGGCUUAACACAUGCAAGUCGAACGGGCGUAGCAAUACGUCAGUGGCAGACGGGUGAGUAACACGUGGGAACGUCCCCCUCGGUUCGGAAUAACUCAGGGAAACUUGAGCUAAUACCGGAUACGUCCGAGAGGAGAAAGAUUUAUCGCCGAGGGAUCGGCCCGCGUCUGAUUAGCUAGUUGGUGAGGUAAUGGCUCACCAAGGCGACGAUCAGUAGCUGGUCUGAGAGGAUGAUCAGCCACACUGGGACUGAGACACGGCCCAGACUCCUACGGGAGGCAGCAGUGGGGAAUAUUGGACAAUGGGCGCAAGCCUGAUCCAGCCAUGCCGCGUGAGUGAUGAAGGCCUUAGGGUUGUAAAGCUCUUUUGCCAGGGAAGAUAAUGACUGUACCUGGAGAAUAAGCCCCGGCUAACUUCGUGCCAGCCGCCGCGGUAAAAC
rnacentral:rRNA from 1 species